GUUAAUACACUCUACUGAUCCCUGAUGGGAGAAUCAUCACCUCUGCCAACAAAGAAGCCUGGUGGAUGUUUGUUUACAGUCUGAUGAUGCGACACCAUGCUCUGCAUCUUCAAAGUUUGUCUCUUGAUUAUUAUUCAUACACAGUAAUGUGAAGCAUGCUCAUAUCUAGUAUAACUGGACCAACCUGGUGCUCUUCAUUUAUGGAGGCUGUUGAGUCUGAAUGUUGGAUGUUGUGUAUCUCGUGUUCUCUGGGCUUUGUUGUCCUCAGUCUUUUUGCAGGAUCAGAAAACAAAACCAGGAGGCCUGUAAAUGUUUCUUCUCCAAUUGGAUGAUGAUAAGACUGUGACAUGGGAUGCCACCUUUAGUCUUGUGAUGAAGCAAAGCUCAGGAAGAAGUGUGAUUAAAUGGUACCCACAUGUGUGCUGCUGAGAAGGAUGUACAGGGGCACCUGCAGCCAAAUCCAAGCCUCCUCAGAUGGUGAUGGUGUGGAGAGACGGUGGUGUUUCCUCAGAAGAACUAGCAGAGUCACCAAGGGCACGAGUCCAUCUCACCACCUUGACUUGCUGACUGAUGCUCGUCUGCACUGCACAGAGGAAAUCAACUGACCGAGGUUUGUUUCUGAGUGAGGGAGAGAGGAGUCAUCAUCCAGGUAAAGUGACGUGGAUCAGUGGAUACACUUGUCUUCGCUUUCAAAGGCGAUACUCUUAGAGAGAGACGAUCCGAGUCAUCCUUAAAUGUUAGUGCUUUCAAAUACACAAACAUUUUUAAAGGACAAAAUCGAACAUCCCACUUUGACUGUAAUACAAUUAAAUCUUUGCAUGUGUGUUUUCAAACUCUCAGAUGGGCAGGAUAUCAGUCUUGGACUGUGUAACCUGCAGGAGCAGCAUUGAAUGACCACCACACAUGAGCAUGUUCCUGCAACAUUCAGCAGCUUUGCUUUUGGUAAGUAGAGUUAUUUAACUACAGUAAUUAUAAACACAUGAUAUCCAUUUCUAACGGCCUGGUUACUUCC
rnacentral:lncRNA from 1 species